GACGAACGCUGGCGGCGUGCUUAACACAUGCAAGUCGAACGGUAAGGCCCUUCGGGGUACACGAGUGGCGAACGGGUGAGUAACACGUGGGUGAUCUGCCCUGCACUUCGGGAUAAGCCUGGGAAACUGGGUCUAAUACCGGAUAGGACUCCUGCCUGCAUGGGUGGGGGUGGAAAGCUUUUGCGGUGUGGGAUGGGCCCGCGGCCUAUCAGCUUGUUGGUGGGGUGAUGGCCUACCAAGGCGACGACGGGUAGCCGGCCUGAGAGGGUGACCGGCCACACUGGGACUGAGAUACGGCCCAGACUCCUACGGGAGGCAGCAGUGGGGAAUAUUGCACAAUGGGCGCAAGCCUGAUGCAGCGACGCCGCGUGAGGGAUGACGGCCUUCGGGUUGUAAACCUCUUUCAGCACAGACGAAGCGCAAGUGACGGUAUGUGCAGAAGAAGGACCGGCCAACUACGUGCCAGCCGCCGCGGUAA
rnacentral:rRNA from 1 species